CAGCCGCCACGGUAAUACGUAGGUGGCAAGCGUUGUCCGGAAUUAUUGGGCGUAAAGGGCGUGUAGGCGGCCUGGGGCGUCCCAUGUGAAAGGCCACGGCUCAACCGUGGAGGAGCGUGGGAUACGCUCAGGCUAGAGGGUGGGAGAGGGUGGUGGAAUUCCCGGAGUAGCGGUGAAAUGCGCAGAUACCGGGAGGAACGCCGAUGGCGAAGGCAGCCACCUGGUCCACUUCUGACGCUGAGGCGCGAAAGCGUGGGGAGCAAACCGGAUUAGAUACCCGCGUAGUCCCUGUCUCUUAUAU
rnacentral:rRNA from 1 species